UGGUGUGUGUGGUGGUAGUGUGUGGUGGUAGUGUGUGUGGUGGUAGUGUGUGGUGGUAGUGUGUGUGGUGGUGGUGUGUUGGUGGUAGUGUGUGUGGUGGUAGUGUGUGUGGUGGUAGUGUGUGUGGUGUUGUGUGUGGUGGUAGUGUGUGGUGGUAGUGUGUGGUGGUAGUGUGUGUGGUGUGUGGUGGUAAUGUGUGUGGUGGUAGUGUGUGGUAGUGUGUGUGGUAGUAGUGUGUGGUGGUAGUGUGUGGUGUGUGUGUGUGUGGUGGUGUGUGUGGUGGUAGUGUGUGUGGUGGUAGUGUGUGGUAGUGUGUGUCGUGGUAGUGUGUGUGGUGGUAGUGUGUGUAAGGUGUGUGGCGAUGGAAGAGGUAAACCACUGAGGUGUUUAAAUAGCUAUAAUUGUGAUGUCAUACUAAUUAUUGGAGAGAAUUAAUUACCCUCACAUUUCCUCUGGG
ensembl:lncRNA